UACGGGGGGAGCAAGCGUUGUUCGGAUUUACUGGGCGUAAAGGGCGCGUAGGCGGUCGUGACAAGUCACUUGUGAAAUCUCCGGGCUUAACUCGGAACGGUCAAGUGAUACUGUCGGACUAGAGUACAGAAGGGGCAACUGGAAUUCUCGGUGUAGCGGUGAAAUGCGCAGAUAUCAGGAGGAACACCAAUGGCGAAGGCAGCUCGCUGGGACGUGACUGACGCUGAGACGCGAAAGCGUGGGGAGCAAACAGG
rnacentral:rRNA from 2 species